rnacentral:rRNA from 1 species
UAGGGAAUCUUCGGCAAUGGGGGCAACCCUGACCGAGCAACGCCGCGUGAGUGAAGAAGGUUUUCGGAUCGUAAAGCUCUGUUGUAAGAGAAGAACGUGUGUGAGAGUGGAAAGUUCACACAGUGACGGUAACUUACCAGAAAGGGACGGCUAACUACGUGCCAGCAGCCGCGGUAAUACGUAGGUCCCGAGCGUUGUCCGGAUUUAUUGGGCGUAAAGCGAGCGCAGGCGGUUUAAUAAGUCUGAAGUUAAAGGCAGUGGCUUAACCAUUGUUCGCUUUGGAAACUGUUAAACUUGAGUGCAGAAGGGGAGAGUGGAAUUCCAUGUGUAGCGGUGAAAUGCGUAGAUAUAUGGAGGAACACCGGUGGCGAAAGCGGCUCUCUGGUCUGUAAAUGACGCUGAGGCUCGAAAGAGUGGGGAGCAAACAGG